rnacentral:lncRNA from 10 species
AUCCCGCUUCCCUCCUGCCUCGCCACUGCAGGCCUGUCCCUUUGCUUUCUUAAAACUGCGCACCGUCUGAGGCCACUUCGAGCCUACUGGAUCCCUGGUUCCAACCCAGUAGGAUCACAGAAGCAGGGCCAGCUGCCAGGAGAAAAAGUUGUUCUCUUCUACCAAAUUUUCCUGCCAUCAAAUGCUCAUUGAGUGACAAUAGAGAAAGCACCAUCAUCCUGAAGCAUCAGAUUGGGAGAAAAGUCCGCUCUCGAGAGCAUCAACUAUGUAGAAAGGGGACCAGCUUCUGCAAAAGACUUGAGACAGCUCACAAUGAAGUACUCUGUAUUAGGCAGGGUAAUAUUGAUUGCAAGUGACAGAAACCCAAUCAGAAACUCACUGGAGUCAUGAGGAACACUUAUUGGCUCAGAGUAAAGGCAAAAUAGACCUUCAGAGAAAUAAAGUCUGGGAAAUUGACUAGAUCCUCACUGAAAGAACUACUAAAGGAUGUACUUAUGGAAGAAGAAAAUUACAAAGUGAAAGAACUGGGAUGCAAGAAGUAAUGGAAAUGACAAGCUAACUCUAAAGUUCACAGGAAUGAAAAGCACCUAAAAUAGGCAAAUUCAUUUUGAAAAAGAAGAACAAAGUUGGAGGGCUAAGACGACCUGAUUUCAAAGUGCAAGGCUUCAAUAAUCAAGACAGUUUGAUAUUGGCACGAAGAUACACAAAGAGAUAAUGACACAGACAUUAGGUCCAGAAGACAGUCCAGUAAUAGACUUUCACAUAUAUGGACAACAAAUUUUUGACAGUGCCAAGGCAAUUCAGUAGAGAAAGGAUAGUUU